rnacentral:rRNA from 1 species
AUUGAACGCUGGCGGCAUGCUUUACACAUGCAAGUCGAACGGUAACAGGCCGCAAGGUGCUGACGAGUGGCGAACGGGUGAGUAAUGCAUCGGAACGUGCCCAGUCGUGGGGGAUACGCAGCGAAAGCUGUGCUAAUACCGCAUACGAUCUAUGGAUGAAAGCGGGGGACCGUAAGGCCUCGCGCGAUUGGAGCGGCCGAUGUCAGAUUAGGUAGUUGGUGGGGUAAAGGCUCACCAAGCCAACGAUCUGUAGCUGGUCUGAGAGGACGACCAGCCACACUGGGACUGAGACACGGCCCAGACUCCUACGGGAGGCAGCAGUGGGGAAUUUUGGACAAUGGGCGCAAGCCUGAUCCAGCAAUGCCGCGUGCAGGAAGAAGGCCUUCGGGUUGUAAACUGCUUUUGUACGGAACGAAAAGGUUUGGGUUAAUACCCUGGGCCGAUGACGGUACCGUAAGAAUAAGCACCGGCUAACUACGUGCCAGCCGCCGCGGUAAUAC